AAUAGAGCCCAAAAAUUCCCUCUUUACGAAAAGCGGACCAAUAGGCCAUGGAUUUGUAACCGUUUCGUUUAGAAACGAGUGUGGAUGUAAAACACUCUUCACAAUACUACUAGGUUUUCUCGAAGCAUGGUAAGAUGUAUAAGCUAUGAAUGUGAUCAACAAAACUACAUAUUUAUACGUUUUUAAACUCCAAUCUUUCCUUCUAAUGCUUCUAAUUAGCAAAAUCCCAGGUGGGUUUGCAUUCAUUGAAUCAUUAUUCUCUGCCAUUCUCAAAAAAAAAAAAACUAGAAUAAAAAAAAAUCAAUGCAAAUUUCUAAUUUUCUGGACUGAUAAUUUUUUAUUUUUUAUUUUUCUGCAGAAAGAAAGAUCUGGAAGUGAUAUUAGGAAAUUUACUGAAACGGGUUCAGAUUGGGGAGUUCACCCAUAAUUCCUCCAACUGUGUGAGAGAGAGCUUUGAUAGAGAAAAUGGAGGGUGGCCGGAGAGAGAGAGAG
rnacentral:lncRNA from 1 species